UACGUAGGGUCCGAGCGUUGUCCGGAAUUAUUGGGCGUAAAGAGCUCGUAGGCGGUCUGUCGCGUCUGCUGUGAAAAUCCAGGGCUCAACCCUGGACCUGCAGUGGGUACGGGCAGACUAGAGUGCGGUAGGGGAGACUGGAAUUCCUGGUGUAGCGGUGGAAUGCGCAGAUAUCAGGAGGAACACCGGUGGCGAAGGCGGGUCUCUGGGCAGUAACUGACGCUGGAG
rnacentral:rRNA from 1 species